rnacentral:rRNA from 1 species
GUGAGGAAUAUUGGUCAAUGGGCGGGAGCCUGAACCAGUCAAGUCGCGUGAAGGAAGAAGGAUCUAUGGUUCGUAAACUUCUUUUGCAGGGGAAUAAAGUGCAGGACGUGUCCUGUUUUGUAUGUACCCUGAGAAUAAGGAUCGGCUAACUCCGUGCCAGCAGCCGCGGUAAUACGGAGGAUCCGAGCGUUAUCCGGAUUUAUUGGGUUUAAAGGGUGCGUAGGUGGUUUGAUAAGUCAGCGGUGAAAGUUUGCAGCUUAACUGUAAAAAUGCCGUUGAAACUGUCGGACUUGAGUGUAAAUGAGGUAGGCGGAAUGCGUGGUGUAGCGGUGAAAUGCAUAGAUAUCACGCAGAACUCCGAUUGCGAAGGCAGCUUACUAAGCUACAACUGACACUGAAGCACGAAAGCGUGGGGAUCAAACAGGAUUAGAAACCCGGGUAGUCC